AUUGAACGCUGGCGGCAGGCCUAACACAUGCAAGUCGAGCGGAUGAAGGGAGCUUGCUCCUGGAUUCAGCGGCGGACGGGUGAGUAAUGCCUAGGAAUCUGCCUGGUAGUGGGGGACAACGUUUCGAAAGGAACGCUAAUACCGCAUACGUCCUACGGGAGAAAGCAGGGGACCUUCGGGCCUUGCGCUAUCAGAUGAGCCUAGGUCGGAUUAGCUAGUUGGUGAGGUAAUGGCUCACCAAGGCGACGAUCCGUAACUGGUCUGAGAGGAUGAUCAGUCACACUGGAACUGAGACACGGUCCAGACUCCUACGGGAGGCAGCAGUGGGGAAUAUUGGACAAUGGGCGAAAGCCUGAUCCAGCCAUGCCGCGUGUGUGAAGAAGGUCUUCGGAUUGUAAAGCACUUUAAGUUGGGAGGAAGGGUUGUAGAUUAAUACUCUGCAAUUUUGACGUUACCGACAGAAUAAGCACCGGCUAACUCUGUGCCAGCAGCCGCGGUAAUACAGAGGGUGCAAGCGUUAAUCGGAAUUACUGGGCGUAAAGCGCGCGUAGGUGGUUCGUUAAGUUGGAUGUGAAAUCCCCGGGCUCAACCUGGGAACUGCAUCCAAAACUGGCGAGCUAGAGUAUGGUAGAGGGUGGUGGAAUUUCCUGUGUAGCGGUGAAAUGCGUAGAUAUAGGAAGGAACACCAG
rnacentral:rRNA from 1 species